rnacentral:misc_RNA from 1 species
GCAGAAGUCAAUAACUGAUGAGCAAAAUCCAAGAUUAUGCGUCAAGCAUAUUCAAGAUGAAUAAAUGUUCUUACAACUUGCAGUAUUGCUAGAAAAUACAAAAGCUCGCAUUAUACACCGAUAUGAUAUACAUAUACAUAAAUCUCAUAAAAUCGAAUGCGAGUAUAAAUGGUUCUGACCAUCUAAAUGUGCUCGAAAGUGUGAUAUUUCAUAGGCAACCUGCAAGAAGUACCUCAGGAAAGAGCUGAACAAAUUUAAAAAGAGGUCAGUAGCUCAUCUCUGAGCAUUCUUUGAGCCAGUUGACUCUGUCCUUUCCUAUCAAUUAUAUUCCAUCCAAGUGCAAAAGACAGAUAGCAGUUAGUUAGAUACACCAAGAAAAUGAGCAAAGCUAGGGUAUUUUGGCUCCCAUCCUACUUCCUCUCGAGUUUUAGUGUUGUUUAGUUUCUUGCCUAAAGGAUCACUUGUUCCUGCAAUAACAAGAUGAGCAAUGUGUGAAUUUCCAUGGUUCAAAUAACAAAAACAAAAAGAGAAGAACAUAAAUAAAGUUCCUUACUCAAAUUAGAAGAUAAUGAGGCAGAAACGAAAGAGAAGUCAAACCUGUCAAACAUUAGAAAGGAGCUUACCAGUAAAGCCUUCAAAUUUUUUACUGAAUUUCCCACUUUUAGCAACCAAAUCCAUCACUCCUUGCCUCGAUAAUGGAUGAUUGUCACAACCCAAGAAAAUUCGGCCACGGAAUUUCUUUUUCAAGAUUGCAACAGAAAGGGAAGCUGCAUCCUGUUAGAAUAGCACCAGGUCCAAACCAGAAAUUACUUUCACUAGUUUAUGAUUCUUUUUUUCAACAUUUCACUAGUUUAUGAUACAGAUACGACUAAAAAUUGUAGCACAAAAAAACUCAAGGCUGCAGGGAUAGAACUGAACUACCUUCAAUAAUGCUCAAAUACCAUCUACAGCAUGGUAAGUAAACCAAAAAUGAAACUUCUUGUUUAAUAAAAAGUAGACAGAAAAUAAUUGGAAAAUGGCAAAUAAAUAACUUGGCAUGAUAAUGCGCAUUGACCAUAAUUCAAGAAGCAGAAAUUAUAAAUUCGAAAGAAGAAAGUAUUGACCUCAUAAUGUAUGAGAUUGAGGAUGUGAUCUGCACGAAAUUCAACAGUCCCCUUCUCCAACCAGUAAACAUGUGCACCCCUAUCUGCUUUGUAGGGCCCGUUAAGGUUAAAUGAAUAGAAAGCCAAAAUUCGAGGCAAAUGCCUAGAAUUUCCCUUGGAAAUGUGCAUGGGAUCCUCACAAUUCAAGUCUAAGAAAGGAUAUGUAAAGUCCUGCCAAUCUCAGUACACAGCCACUGCUCUCCAGCACCACUUUUUCUGCCUUUAGAAGCACAUCAGUCCUUGGGCUUCUCCCAAAUGGCACAACUGGAGAGUCCUGCAAGGAAACAUAUUGAGAAUUUAUGACAUACAUAAUACUUAUAUUAAGUAUAAUGUCCACUGAUCCAGUUGACAGUGCAAUAGUAUAUAUUCACAAGAUAAAGACCAUAUCUAAAAGUAGGCCAGGGAAUAACUUCUUUUAAGCCCCAAAAGAUUGAGAGAAGUAGCAAGAUAAUUACUCCUGUUAGAUAGUUAGGGGUAUCAGUACCACCUCAUCACAUUGUCCAUUGUUAUUGCAAUCAUAUGGUGCAGAGCUUGAUGUAAACAGGAAACAACCUUCUCCGUUCCAGCUCAAAGCAGCUUCCCUGGUCCAAAGUAAUAGCAUAAGGUUGGAGGGGAAAAUAUUAAAAUCAAUCAAACUUAGCAAUUUUUCCUCCCUCAUACAUAUGGGAAAACUCUUUGGCUCCUUGCCAAUAAUUAUAGACGAAUAAAUGAUCCUGUGGACAUCCAAAGUCUUUCUGAAGUCAAAUCCACAAGACAAAGGCAUUUUCUACCGUGAAAUUACACUUCUUAUUAUAAGUUAAUUAAUUUUAGAAACAAUGAUUCUCAAGCUUAUAACCUGACAUCACCAAUAUAGUCAGAAGUUCGUGAGGGAGGAGCGCAGAAAAUGACGUAAGGGAACUGAUGAUUUAGUUUAGUUCCCUUCAAAGAUGGAUUGAUCCCUAUUUUUAUCAGAUCAUCAUGGUGGUCUGUAGUCACUGUCUGCCCAUAAACUUGACACCCCGGAUGUUCCUGGCGCCAUUUCUCAGCAACUAAGCGACCAAGAACGCCUGGGCCAACAAUAAGCAGAUCAUUCUCUCCCACAAGACCAGAAGAUGCAGCCUCCAAUUCUUCAUUCGGCG